CCUACGGGAGGCAGCAGUCGAGAAUCAUUCACAAUGGGGGAAACCCUGAUGGUGCGACGCCGCGUGGGGGAAUGAAGGUCUUCGGAUUGUAAACCCCUGUCAUGUGGGAGCAAAUUAAAAAGAUAGUACCACAAGAGGAAGAGACGGCUAACUCUGUGCGAGCCGCCGCGGUAAUACAGAGGUCUCAAGCGUGGUUCGGAAUCACUGGGCGUAAGGCGUGCGUAGGCUGUUUCGUAAGUCGUUUGUGAAAGGCGCGGGAUCAACCGUCGGACGGCACAUGAUCCUGCGAGACUAGAGUGAUGGAGGGGGAACCGGAAUUCUCGGUGUAGCAGUGAAAUGCGUAGAUA
rnacentral:rRNA from 1 species